UACGUGGGGUGCAAGCGUUAAUCGGAAUUACUGGGCGUAAAGCGUGCGCAGGCGGCUAUGCAAGACAGAUGUGAAAUCCCCGGGCUCAACCUGGGAACUGCAUUUGUGACUGCAUGGCUAGAGUACGGUAGAGGGGGAUGGAAUUCCGCGUGUAGCAGUGAAAUGCGUAGAUAUGCGGAGGAACACCGAUGGCGAAGGCAAUCCCCUGGACCUGUACUGACGCUCAUGCACGAAAGCGUGGGGAGCAAGCAGG
rnacentral:rRNA from 1 species